GUGAAGCAACAGACAAAAGAUUUGCCUCUGAAAGAUUGUUCUGUUGUGGCAGCGAUCCUUCACCAUUGCAGUGAUGUGGAUUUAAAUGUACCGGAUUGUACAUCGAAGGUGAAUUUAUGAAAUAGAAAUGAACCUCAGGAGUCUAUUUUCAGAUGAUCAAGGGCAGACGUGAAGCACAGCCCACACUUGGCGAAUGGGACCCCUGGGGUGCGCUCCUGAGAAUGCUUAGAGCGGUGAAUGGAUGCUGGAUCAUCAUGGAGGUUGUUGUGAGAAGAAAGACUUGCAGUGAGGAAAUAUAUGAUAAUUAUCCAGGAAAAUGGCAUGAUUAUAAGCAGCCUCCAGCCUGGAGUCAACAUCCUGUGAACAAGUGUUCCAAAGACCCAAUAGG